rnacentral:sRNA from 1 species
UAUUGGAAUGCCAAGCGAUUGUAUGAUG